rnacentral:rRNA from 1 species
UACGUAGGUGGCAAGCGUUAUCCGGAUUUACUGGGUGUAAAGGGAGCGUAGACGGCGAUGCAAGCCAGAUGUGAAAGCCCGCGGCUCAACUGCGGUAGUGCAUUUGGAACUGUAUGGCUGGAGUGCCGGAGGGGCAGGCGGAAUUCCUAGUGUAGCGGUGAAAUGCGUAGAUAUUAGGAGGAGCACCAGUGGCGAAGGCGGCCUGCUGGACGGUGUACUGACGCUGAGGCUCGAAAGCGUGGGGAGCAAACAGG